rnacentral:rRNA from 1 species
CCUACGGGAGGCUGCAGUGAGGAAUAUUGGUCAAUGGACGAGAGUCUGAACCAGCCAAGUCGCGUGAAGGAUGACUGCCCUAUGGGUUGUAAACUUCUUUUAUCUGGGAAUAAAACGUUCCACGUGUGGGAUUUUGUAUGUACCGUAGGAAUAAGGAUCGGCUAACUCCGUGCCAGGACCCGCGGUAAUACGGAGGGUCGGAGCGUUAUCCGGAUUUAUUGGGGUUAAAGGGAGCGUAGGUGGAUUUUUAAGUCCGUUGUGAAAGUUUGCGGGUAAACCGUAAAAUUGCAGUUGAAACUGGCAGUCUUGAGUACAGUAGAGGUGGGCGGAAUUCGUGGUGUAGCGGUGAAAUGCUUAGAUAUCACGAAGAACCCCGAUUGCGAAGGCAGCUCACUGGACUGCAACUGACACUGAGGCUCGAAAGUGUGGGUAUCAAACAGGAUUAGAUACCCGGGUAGUC